GUCCCCGUAGCGGAGUGGUUACGCACUUGCUGCUUAGCGUUGUUUUCCUCAGCGUUGGCUUUUCAGACAGCGGUUAUCAGCGAGAGACGUCGGUUCAAACCCGACUGGGGACA